GGCUGGUUAGCUCAGUCAGUUUGAGUGUGGUGCUGCUAACACCAAGGUCACGAGUUCAAUUCCCAUUCGGUCC
rnacentral:tRNA from 1 species